UACGAAGGGGGCGAGCGUUGUUCGGAAUUACUGGGCGUAAAGGGCGCGUAGGCGGCCGAUCAAGUCAGAUGUGAAAGUCCUGGGCUCAACUCAGAGACUGCUUCCGAAACUGCUGUGCUGGAGUGUGGGAGAGGCGCGUGGAAUUGCAGGUGUAGCGGUGAAAUGCGUAGAUAUCUGCAGGAACACCAGUGGCGAAGGCGGCUCACUGGCCCGAUACUGACGCUGAGGUGCGAAAGCGUGGGGAGCAAACAGG
rnacentral:rRNA from 1 species